AAUAGAUACCCAGGUAGUCCACCCCGUAAACGUUGGGAACUAGUUGUGGGGUCCUUUCCACGGAUUCCGUGACGCAGCUAACGCAUUAAGUUCCCCGCCUGGGGAGUACGGCCGCAAGGCUAAAACUCAAAGGAAUUGACGGGGACCCGCACAAGCGGCGGAGCAUGCGGAUUAAUUCGAUGCAACGCGAAGAACCUUACCAAGGCUUGACAUACACCAGAACACCCUAGAAAUAGGGGACUCUUUGGACACUGGUGAACAGGUGGUGCAUGGUUGUCGUCAGCUCGUGUCGUGAGAUGUUGGGUUAAGUCCCGCAACGAGCGCAACCCUCGUUCUAUGUUGCCAGCACGUAAUGGUGGGGACUCAUGGGAUACUGCCGGGGUCAACUCGGAGGAAGGUGGGGAUGACGUCAAAUCAUCAUGCCCCUUAUGUCUUGGGCUUCACGCAUGCUACAAUGGCCGGUACAAAGGGCUGCAAUACCGUGAGGUGGAGCGAAUCCCAAAAAGCCGGUCCCAGUUCGGAUUGAGGUCUGCAACUCGACCUCA
rnacentral:rRNA from 1 species